rnacentral:snRNA from 1 species
GGAUGUGAAGGUAAGCUGGCAGCAAUAUCUGUCACCCCAUUGAUCUCCAGGGUUGACUGGGCUGAUCUGUAUGUCUAAGCAGGUGCCCCUUUCCUUCCUCACCAUUCCAUGUGCAUCCCUUUUAAAGCUGCACUGUUGAUAAAAGAGGACAACCUUCCUUGAUAAAGGAGGACCCUUCCUCAGUCAAGGGGAAGUUAUGCUCCCCUCUGGAGCCUGCAAACAAGCUCUCAAAAUCCAUUCAUAGGAAAACACAGGGUAGUGGAGUUUCCAAGACUCCAUACUCAUCCAAAUGAGAUGCUGCAUGUAGCAGUCUGCCUUUCUUG